GAUGAACGCUGGCGGCGUGCCUAAUACAUGCAAGUCGAGCGAACAGACGAGGAGCUUGCUCCUCUGACGUUAGCGGCGGACGGGUGAGUAACACGUGGAUAACCCACCUAUAAGACUGGGAUAACUUCGGGAAACCGGAGCUAAUACCGGAUAAUAUAUUGAACCGCAUGGUUCAAUAGUGAAAGACGGUUUUGCUGUCACUUAUAAAUGGAUCCGCGCCGCAUUAGCUAGUUGGUAAGGUAACGGCUUACCAAGGCAACGAUGCGUAGCCGACCUGAGAGGGUGAUCGGCCACACUGGAACUGAGACACGGUCCAGACUCCUACGGGAGGCAGCAGUAGGGAAUCUUCCGCAAUGGGCGAAAGCCUGACGGAGCAACGCCGCGUGAGUGAUGAAGGUCUUCGGAUCGUAAAACUCUGUUAUUAGGGAAGAACAAAUGUGUAAGUAACUAUGCACGUCUUGACGGUACCUAAUCAGAAAGCCACGGCUAACUACGUG
rnacentral:rRNA from 1 species